UACGUAGGGUGCAAGCGUUGUCCGGAAUUAUUGGGCGUAAAGAGCUUGUAGGCGGUUUGUCGCGUCUGCUGUGAAAUUUCGGGGCUCAACCCCGAACUUGCAGUGGGUACGGGCAGACUAGAGUGUGGUAGGGGAGACUGGAAUUCCUGGUGUAGCGGUGAAAUGCGCAGAUAUCAGGAGGAACACCGAUGGCGAAGGCGGCAUCCUGGACCGGCAUUGACGCUGAGGAGCGAAAGCCAGGGGAGCAAACGGG
rnacentral:rRNA from 1 species